rnacentral:SRP_RNA from 14 species
CAAAAGGAGGAAAGUAUCGCCUGAUGGCGGAAAUGAUGGAGCAGCGCAAAAUAAUGCGUGCUUCGGUUUG